GACGAACGCUGGUGGCGUGCUUAACACAUGCAAGUCGAACGAUGAAGCCGGAGCUUGCUCCGGUGGAUUAGUGGCGAACGGGUGAUUAACACGUGAGCAAUCUGCCCUUGACUCUGGGAUAACUGCGGGAAACUGUAGCUAAUACCGGAUACGACACCUUGGGGCAUCCCAGGGUGUGGAAAGAAUUUCGGUCAAGGAUGAGCUCGCGGCCUAGCAGGUGGUUGGUGAGGUAAUGGCUCACCAAGGCGACGUCGGGUAGCCGGCCCGAGAGGGGGACCGGUCACACUGGAAUGGAGUCAAGGUCCAUACUCCUUCGUGAGAGAGCGGUGGGGAUUAUUGCCCAGUGGGAGAAAGCCUGAUGCAGCAACGCAGAGUGAGGGAUGAAGGCGUUCGGGUUGUACACCUCUUUUAUCAGCGAAGAAGCGAAAAUGACGGUACCUGCAGAAAAAGCACCGGCUAACUACGUGCCAGCCGCCGCGGUAA
rnacentral:rRNA from 1 species